rfam:Canis lupus familiaris chromosome 24, whole genome shotgun sequence.
GCCUGGGUGGCUCAGUGGUUGAGCGCCUGCCUUUGGCCCAGGGCGGGAUCCUGGGUCCUGGGAUCGAGUCCCGCAUCAGGCU